rnacentral:rRNA from 1 species
GGGUUGUGAGGUUAAGCGACUAAGCGUACACGGUGGAUGCCCUGGCAGUCAGAGGCGAUGAAGGACGUGCUAAUCUGCGAUAAGCGUCGGUAAGGUGAUAUGAACCGUUAUAACCGGCGAUUUCCGAAUGGGGAAACCCAGUGUGAUUCGUCACACUAUCAUUAACUGAAUCCAUAGGUUAAUGAGGCGAACCGGGGGAACUGAAACAUCUAAGUACCCCGAGGAAAAGAAAUCAACCGAGAUUCCCCCAGUAGCGGCGAGCGAACGGGGAGCAGCCCAGAGCCUGAAUCAGUGUGUGUGUUAGUGGAAGCGUCUGGAAAGGCGUGCGAUACAGGGUGACAGCCCCGUACACAAAAAUGCACAUGCUGUGAGCUCGAUGAGUAGGGCGGGACACGUGGUAUCCUGUCUGAAUAUGGGGGGACCAUCCUCCAAGGCUAAAUACUCCUGACUGACCGAUAGUGAACCAGUACCGUGAGGGAAAGGCGAAAAGAACCCCGGCGAGGGGAGUGAAAAAGAACCUGAAACCGUGUACGUACAAGCAGUGGGAGCACGCUUAGGCGUGUGACUGCGUACCUUUUGUAUAAUGGGUCAGCGACUUAUAUUCUGUAGCAAGGUUAACCGAAUAGGGGAGCCGAAGGGAAACCGAGUCUUAACUGGGCGUUAAGUUGCAGGGUAUAGACCCGAAACCCGGUGAUCUAGCCAUGGGCAGGUUGAAGGUUGGGUAACACUAACUGGAGGACCGAACCGACUAAUGUUGAAAAAUUAGCGGAUGACUUGUGGCUGGGGGUGAAAGGCCAAUCAAACCGGGAGAUAGCUGGUUCUCCCCGAAAGCUAUUUAGGUAGCGCCUCGUGAAUUCAUCUCCGGGGGUAGAGCACUGUUUCGGCAAGGGGGUCAUCCCGACUUACCAACCCGAUGCAAACUGCGAAUACCGGAGAAUGUUAUCACGGGAGACACACGGCGGGUGCUAACGUCCGUCGUGAAGAGGGAAACAACCCAGACCGCCAGCUAAGGUCCCAAAGUCAUGGUUAAGUGGGAAACGAUGUGGGAAGGCCCAGACAGCCAGGAUGUUGGCUUAGAAGCAGCCAUCAUUUAAAGAAAGCGUAAUAGCUCACUGGUCGAGUCGGCCUGCGCGGAAGAUGUAACGGGGCUAAACCAUGCACCGAAGCUGCGGCAGCGACGCUUAUGCGUUGUUGGGUAGGGGAGCGUUCUGUAAGCCUGCGAAGGUGUGCUGUGAGGCAUGCUGGAGGUAUCAGAAGUGCGAAUGCUGACAUAAGUAACGAUAAAGCGGGUGAAAAGCCCGCUCGCCGGAAGACCAAGGGUUCCUGUCCAACGUUAAUCGGGGCAGGGUGAGUCGACCCCUAAGGCGAGGCCGAAAGGCGUAGUCGAUGGGAAACAGGUUAAUAUUCCUGUACUUGGUGUUACUGCGAAGGGGGGACGGAGAAGGCUAUGUUGGCCGGGCGACGGUUGUCCCGGUUUAAGCGUGUAGGCUGGUUUUCCAGGCAAAUCCGGAAAAUCAAGGCUGAGGCGUGAUGACGAGGCACUACGGUGCUGAAGCAACAAAUGCCCUGCUUCCAGGAAAAGCCUCUAAGCAUCAGGUAACAUCAAAUCGUACCCCAAACCGACACAGGUGGUCAGGUAGAGAAUACCAAGGCGCUUGAGAGAACUCGGGUGAAGGAACUAGGCAAAAUGGUGCCGUAACUUCGGGAGAAGGCACGCUGAUAUGUAGGUGAAGUCCCUCGCGGAUGGAGCUGAAAUCAGUCGAAGAUACCAGCUGGCUGCAACUGUUUAUUAAAAACACAGCACUGUGCAAACACGAAAGUGGACGUAUACGGUGUGACGCCUGCCCGGUGCCGGAAGGUUAAUUGAUGGGGUUAGCGCAAGCGAAGCUCUUGAUCGAAGCCCCGGUAAACGGCGGCCGUAACUAUAACGGUCCUAAGGUAGCGAAAUUCCUUGUCGGGUAAGUUCCGACCUGCACGAAUGGCGUAAUGAUGGCCAGGCUGUCUCCACCCGAGACUCAGUGAAAUUGAACUCGCUGUGAAGAUGCAGUGUACCCGCGGCAAGACGGAAAGACCCCGUGAACCUUUACUAUAGCUUGACACUGAACAUUGAGCCUUGAUGUGUAGGAUAGGUGGGAGGCUUUGAAGUGUGGACGCCAGUCUGCAUGGAGCCGACCUUGAAAUACCACCCUUUAAUGUUUGAUGUUCUAACGUUGACCCGUGAUCCGGGUUGCGGACAGUGUCUGGUGGGUAGUUUGACUGGGGCGGUCUCCUCCUAAAGAGUAACGGAGGAGCACGAAGGUUGGCUAAUCCUGGUCGGACAUCAGGAGGUUAGUGCAAUGGCAUAAGCCAGCUUGACUGCGAGCGUGACGGCGCGAGCAGGUGCGAAAGCAGGUCAUAGUGAUCCGGUGGUUCUGAAUGGAAGGGCCAUCGCUCAACGGAUAAAAGGUACUCCGGGGAUAACAGGCUGAUACCGCCCAAGAGUUCAUAUCGACGGCGGUGUUUGGCACCUCGAUGUCGGCUCAUCACAUCCUGGGGCUGAAGUAGGUCCCAAGGGUAUGGCUGUUCGCCAUUUAAAGUGGUACGCGAGCUGGGUUUAGAACGUCGUGAGACAGUUCGGUCCCUAUCUGCCGUGGGCGCUGGAGAACUGAGGGGGGCUGCUCCUAGUACGAGAGGACCGGAGUGGACGCAUCACUGGUGUUCGGGUUGUCAUGCCAAUGGCACUGCCCGGUAGCUAAAUGCGGAAGAGAUAAGUGCUGAAAGCAUCUAAGCACGAAACUUGCCCCGAGAUGAGUUCUCCCUGACUCCUUGAGAGUCCUGAAGGAACGUUGAAGACGACGACGUUGAUAGGCCGGGUGUGUAAGCGCAGCGAUGCGUUGAGCUAACCGGUACUAAUGAACCGUGAGGCUUAACCUUACAACGCCGAAGGUGUUU